rnacentral:rRNA from 1 species
GACGAACGCUGGCGGCGUGCUUAACACAUGCAAGUCGAACGGAAAGGCCCUGCUUUUGUGGGGUGCUCGAGUGGCGAACGGGUGAGUAACACGUGAGUAACCUGCCCUUGACUUUGGGAUAACUUCAGGAAACUGGGGCUAAUACCGGAUAGGAGCUCCUGCGGCAUGGUGGGGGUGGGAAAGUUUCGGCGGUUGGGGAUGGACUCGCGGCUUAUCAGCUUGUUGGUGGGGUAGUGGCUUACCAAGGCUUUGACGGGUAGCCGGCCUGAAAGGGUGACCGGCCACAUUGGGACUGAGAUACGGCCCAGACUCCUACGGGAGGCAGCAGUGGGGAAUAUUGCACAAUGGGCGGAAGCCUGAUGCAGCAACGCCGCGUGCGGGAUGACGGCCUUCGGGUUGUAAACCGCUUUCGCCUGUGACGAAGCGUGAGUGACGGUAAUGGGUAAAGAAGCACCGGCUAACUACGUG